CGCUGGCGGCGUGCUUAAGACAUGCAAGUCGAACGAUGAACCAGUUCGGUGGGGAUUAGUGGCGAACGGGUGAGUAACACGUGGGCAAUCUGCCCUUCACUCUGGGACAAGCCCUGGAAACGGGGUCUAAUACCGGAUAUCACUUCCACUCGCAUGGGUGGGGGUGGAAAGCUCCGGCGGUGAAGGAUGAGCCCGCGGCCUAUCAGCUUGUUGGUGAGGUAAUGGCUCACCAAGGCGACGACGGGUAGCCGGCCUGAGAGGGCGACCGGCCACACUGGGACUGAGACACGGCCCAGACUCCUACGGGAGGCAGCAGUGGGGAAUAUUGCACAAUGGGCGAAAGCCUGAUGCAGCGACGCCGCGUGAGGGAUGACGGCCUUCGGGUUGUAAACCUCUUUCGGGAGGGAAGAAGCGAAAGUGACGGUACCUGCAGAAGAAGCGCCGGCUAACUACGUGCCAGCAGCUCGCGGUAAUACGUAGGGCGCAAGCGUUGUCCGGAAUUAUUGGGCGUAAAGAGCUCGUAGGCGGUCUGUCGCGUCGGAUUUGAAAGCCCGGGGCUUAACCCCGGGUCUGCAUUCGAUACGGGCAGACUAGAGUGUGGUAGGGGAGAUCGGAAUUCCUGGUGUAGCGGUGAAAUGCGCAGAUAUCAGGAGGAACACCGGUGGCGAAGGCGGAUCUCUGGGCCAUUACUGACGCUGAGGAGCGAAAGCGUGGGGAGCGAACAGGAUUAGAUACCCUGGUAGUCCACGCCGUAAACGGUGGGAACUAGGUGUUGGUUACAUUCCACGUCGUCGGUGCCGCAGCUAACGCAUUAAGUUCCCCGCCUGGGGAGUACGGCCGCAAGGCUAAAACUCAAAGGAAUUGACGGGGGCGGGCACAAGCAGCGGAGCAUGUGGCUUAAUUCGACGCAACGCGAAGAACCUUACCAAGGCUUGACAUACACCGGAAAGCAUUAGAGAUAGUGCCCCCCUUGUGGUCGGUGUACAGGUGGUGCAUGGCUGUCGUCAGCUCGUGUCGUGAGAUGUUGGGUUUGGUCCCGCAACGAGCGCAACCCUUGUUCUGUGUUGCCAGCAUGCCCUUCGGGGUGAUGGGGACUCACAGGAGACUGCCGGGGUCAACUCGGAGGAAGGUGGGGACGACGUCAAGUCAUCAUGCCCCUUAUGUCUUGGGCUGCACACGUGCUACAAUGGCCGGUACAAAGAGCUGCGAAACCGUGAGGUGGAGCGUUCUCAAAAAGCCGGUCUCAGUUCGGUUUGGGGUCUGCAACUCGACCCCAUGAAGUCGGAGUUGCUAGUAAUCGCAGAUCAGCAUUGCUGCGGUGAAUACGUUCCCGGGCCUUGUACACACCGCCCGUCACGUCACGAAAGUCGGUAACACCCGAAGCCGGUGGCCCAACCCCUUGUGGGAGGGAGCUGUCGAAGGUGGGACUGGCGAUUGGGACGAAGUCGUAACAAGGUAGCCGUAC
rnacentral:rRNA from 1 species